rnacentral:rRNA from 1 species
CAGUUAGUUGGUGGGGUAAUGGCCUACCAAGACCAUGAUGCGUAGCCAACCUGAGAGGGUGAACGGCCACAAGGGAACUGAGACACGGUCCCUACUCCUACGGGAGGCAGCAGUGAGGAAUUUUCGGCAAUGGGGGCAACCCUGACCGAGCAAUACUACGUGAAGGAGGAAGGUCUACGGAUUGUAAACUUCUGUUAGCGCAGAAGAAGGGCUGAACGUAAGUUCAGUUUUGACGGUAUGCGCAGAGAAAGCCACGACUAACUAUGUGCCAGCAGUCGCGGUAAGACAUAGGUGGCAAACGUUAUCCGGAAUUAUUGGGCGUAAAGGGUGCGUAGAUGGUACGAUAAGUUAUCAGUGGCAAAUCGGGGCUCAACCCCGUGGAAGUUGGUAAUACUGUCAUACUAGAGUGCAGAAGAGGUUAACGGAACUCCAUGUGGAGCGGUAAAAUGCGUAGAUAUAUGGAUGAACAUCAAUAACGGCGAAGGCAGUUAACUAUUCUGUUACUGACAUUGAGGCACGAAAGCGUGGGGAGCAAAAAGGAUUAGAUACCCUUGUAGUCCACGCCCUAAACGAUGAGUACUAGGUAUUGGGCAGUAUUGUUCAGUGCCGCUAGUUAACACGGUAAGUACUCCGCCUGGGUAGUACGCUCGCAAG